CNGUCGAGCGGUAACAUUUCUAGCUUGCUAGAAGAUGACGAGCGGCGGACGGGUGAGUAACGCGUAGGAAUCUGCCUAGUAGAGGGGGACAACAUGUGGAAACGCAUGCUAAUACCGCAUACGCCCUUAGGGGGAAAGGAGGGGACUUUUCGGAGCCUUCCGCUAUUAGAUGAGCCUGCGUAAGAUUAGCUAGUUGGUGGGGUAAAGGCUCACCAAGGCGACGAUCUUUAACUGGUCUGAGAGGAUGACCAGUCACACUGGGACUGAGACACGGCCCAGACUCCUACGGGAGGCAGCAGUGGGGAAUAUUGGACAAUGGGCGAAAGCCUGAUCCAGCCAUGCCGCGUGUGUGAAGAAGGCCUUAGGGUUGUAAAGCACUUUCAGGAGUGAGGAAGGGUGCUUGGUUAAUACCCAAGUAUUUUGACGUUAGCUCCAGAAGAAGCACCGGCUAACUCUGUGCCAGCAGCCGCGGUAAUACAGAGGGUGCAAGCGUUAAUCGGAAUUACUGGGCGUAAAGCGCGCGUAGGUGGUUUGUUAAGUCUGAUGUGAAAUCCCAGGGCUCAACCUUGGAAUGGCACCGGAUACUGGCAGGCUAGAGUACGGUAGAGGGGUGUGGAAUUUCCUGUGUAGCGGUGAAAUGCGUAGAUAUAGGAANGGAACAUCAGUGGCGAANNNGACACCCUGGACUGAUACUGACACUGNNNUGCGAAAGCGUGGGGAGCAAACNGNAUUAGAUACCC
rnacentral:rRNA from 1 species